UCAGUUACUGGCAGGGUUUAUGGGCCAGGUAACUGCCCUCUAGACUCUAAACACGUGGUUAUUGGUCAUACUCCUCUAAGGAUAUAAACUGUGAAGACAAGACUUUAAGCUCAGUGUAGCGCUGUGUUCUGUACAACAACGACCACCUGGGAAUAGCUGGAGGCUGUUCAGAUAUAAUGAAGAGGAUGUUUGGUAUGUCUGUCUGUCUGUUGCUGCUGUGUGUGUCGUGGGGCGACAGUCAGCCUGUACACACUGCUGCUCACACUGUCAGAGAGAUGAUAGAGCUCCUGAGAGCGAUGACUCCAGUAACUGAGCAGAAGGGACAGGACACAGAUCUGAUGGACUCUCCUGAGGUUCUGUGGCCUAAUACUGAGGAUCUGGAGAAGAGAGACCUGCCACGUUUAGGAGUAACAAUACACAGAGCCUUACCCUCAAGAGUAUACAGCAGUAAGUCCGUAGAUGCAUCUAGAUACCGUUUGUCAUCUCCAGCUAAGUGGAUGUCCAGCCUCCGAGGUUGAAGAAUAGCCUGUUUGAUUCAUCAGUUUCAAAAUAGCUUGAACCAAUCAAUCCGCAUGCUAUCUCUGUGAAGAACUCAUUGUAAAACAUGAAA